UUGGAGGGCAAGUCUGGUGCCAGCAGCCGCGGUAAUUCCAGCUCCAAUAGCGUAUAUUAAAGUUGUUGCAGUUAAAAAGCUCGUAGCUGAAUUUCGGGAUUUAUCCGUCGGUCGGGCUUUUGGGUCUGUACUGGCGUGAUGAAUUCCUACCUUCUGAAUAACCAGCAUGCCAUUAAUUUGGUGCGCCGGGGAAGCAGGACUGUUACCUUGAAAAAAUUAGAGUGCUUAAAGCAGGCUAUUGCCUGAAUACAUUAGCAUGGAAUAAUGAAAUAGGACGGCAUGGUCCUAUUUUGUUGGUUUCUAGGAUCACCGUAAUGAUUAAUAGGGAUAGUUGGGGGCAUUGGUAUUCAAUUGUCAGAGGUGAAAUUCUUGGAUUUAUUGAAGACUAACUUCUGCGAAAGCAUUUGCCAAGGAUGUUUUCAUUAAUCAAGAACGAAAGUUAGGGGAUCGAAGACGAUCAGAUACCGUCGUAGUCUUAACCAUAAACUAUGCCGACUAGGGAUCGGACGACGUUAAUUUUUUAAUGACUCGUUCGGCGCCUUACGGGAAACCAAAGUGUUUGGGUUC
rnacentral:rRNA from 1 species